AACGGUCUAUACCUGCGGUACCUGCGGAGGGAUCAUUAGUGAACGCCCUCACGGGCUUAUAACUAUUCCAAACCUCUGUGAACCGUGCCCUUCGGGGCUAUUUUACAAACAUGGUGUAAUGAACGUCAUAUAUCAUAACAAAACAAAACUUUCAGCAAUGGAUCUCU
rnacentral:misc_RNA from 1 species